rnacentral:lncRNA from 1 species
AAGACGGGCAGCGCCCUGCCGUCGAGCGGCCCCAAGUGGGUGCCCAUUCCGGCGCAGCCGGAAAGCAAGUGGGUGCCCAUUCCGGCGCAGCCGGAAAGCCCGCUGCCGACGGGCGUCUCGAAAGCAACAGCCCUCGCGGAGGCGAAAUCGGGAACGCCGUCGCAGCAGAGCCUGCCUAAGGCCAUGCCGGCAACACCGUCGCACCAGGGCUUACCGAAAUCGCUGCCCAUUGAGGCGAGAUUGACGCUACUGUCGCAGCAGAGCCUGCCGAAGGCCAUGCCUGUUGUUGAGCCGAGAUUGGUGGCACAGUUGCAGCAGAGCCUGCCGAAGGCCAUGCCUGUUGUUGAGGCGAGACUGACAGCACCGUCGCAGCAGUGUCUGCCCAAGGCCAUGCCUGUUGUUGAGCCAAGAUUGGCAACACCGUCGCAGCCGAGCCUGCCCAAGGCCAUGCCUGUUGUCGAGCCGAGAUUGGCAACAGCGUCACAGCAGAGCCUGCCCAAAGCAAUGCCCGUUGUCGAGGUGAAGUCAGCAACGCCGUCACAGCAGAGUCCGCCAAAGGCAACGCCUGAUGAGGUGAAGUCAGCAACGCCGUCGCAGCAGAGUCCGCCAAAGGCAACGCCUGAUGAGGUGAAGUCAGCAACACCGUCAGAGCAGAGCCUCCCAAAUGCAGUGCCUGUUGUCGAGGUGAAAUCCGCAACACCGUCACAGCAGAGCCUGCCCAAAGCAAUGCCUGUUGUCGAGGCAAGAUUGGCAACACCGUCACAGCAGAGCCUGCCCAAAGCAAUGCCUGUUGUCGAGAUGAAAUCGGGAACCCCGUCGCAGCAGAGCCUCACAAAACCAGCGCCCACCGUCGAGGUGAAAUCGGCAAGCCCCCUUCCCCAGAGCCAGUCGAAACCAACACCCGUCACAACAGCACAGGCGGCCGCUCCGCCGUGCCAGAGCCCCUCCAAACCAGUGCCCGUCGUGGUGACACAGCCGGCACCUCCGCCAGGGCAGAGCCUCCCGAAACCGCCGCCUGUUGCCACAGCCCAGCCAGGCCUGACC